UACGAAGGGGGCUAGCGUUGCUCGGAAUCACUGGGCGUAAAGGGUGCGUAGGCGGGUCUUUAAGUCAGGGGUGAAAUCCUGGAGCUCAACUCCAGAACUGCCUUUGAUACUGAGGAUCUUGAGUUCGGGAGAGGUAAGUGGAACUGCGAGUGUAGAGGUGAAAUUCGUAGAUAUUCGCAAGAACACCAGUGGCGAAGGCGGCUCACUGGCCCGAUACUGACGCUGAGGCACGAAAGCGUGUGGAGCAAACAGG
rnacentral:rRNA from 1 species